GUAGAAUUUUUUUUAUUAGUUUCAGUUCUUUCUGUAUAUUGCUCAAUAACAAUUUAAGCAUUUA
rnacentral:tRNA from 1 species